rnacentral:tRNA from 1 species
GCCGCCUUAGCUCAGUGGUAGAGCACUGCCAUGGUAAGGCAGGGGUCUCGGGUUCAAGUCCCGAAGGCGGCUCCA